UUGUUAGGAUGGGCAGCAAUUAGACGAAGUCUAGAUCCAAGAAUAGUGCUGCCACUUUAUGCCUCUGGAGUUUUUUGGACACUUGUUUAUGAUACAAUCUAUGCUCACCAGGAUAAAGAAGAUGACCUGAAAGUGGGAGUUAAGUCAACUGCUUUGCACUUUGGUGAUUUUACAAAGGAGUGGAUUACUGGGUUUGGCAUUGCAUGCCUUGGUGGUCUUGCCCUCAGUGGCUAUAAUGCUGAAAUUGGUAUGUUUUAUGAGUUAUGACCCAUUUUAUGUUCUCUCUGUUUCGAGUUUUUAGAACUAUAUUUGGAUUUCAAUGGUUGUUUUCCUGUUCAACCUUCUGAUUCAUAUUUGUGGAGCAGGCUGGCCAUAUUAUGCAUUUCUGGCAGCUGCAUCUGGACAACUAGGCUGGCAAAUAUGGACAGUUGACCUCUCAUCACGUGCUGAUUGCAAUUGCAAAUUUAAUUCAAACAAGUGGUUCGGAGCUAUCAUAUUUGGUGGAAUCCUAGCUGGAAAACUUGUAUCAUAGGGGGCUUUUUUCAUGAAGGAAAAAUUAGUCAUCGAAAAACCAAAAAUUCAACAGACGAGAGACAAGGUUGAAUGCCAUUAGAAGGUACAUGGUUGCUUGGUAUUCAUGUUGCAAUUUUAGUAGUUUGAAAUCUUAAACCAACGGUGUGCCAAUGUUGAAUAUUUGGCUGUACAUGAUGCAUUGUUGUUUCAUCCAAUCUAAGGAGUAAGUCUAUGAUCCUAAGAUCAGAUCAUUCUAAGCAUCUUGCAUUUUUAAUUUGGUGGAUUAUGAAGCUUCCUGUUGGUGAUUUAUCUUUGUAGGACACUAGUUUAGUAGCUGAAAUCAUACUUAGGAUAUAUUUGAUUGCAGGUAAAACUGGAGUAGAAAUUUUCAUGGAUGAAUUUGAUAUGUGAAAUUGCACAUGGACUUCAUCCUUGAAAAUUUCACCCCAUUUUUACUUACAACUAAACAUACUCUUCAGGUGUGGUUGUCUGUUGAGGGAAAGGAAGGGAAGGAAAUGGUUUGAAGGAUAGAAUGGAGUUAUAUCAAGUUCCUCUAUCUCUCUUUCUCUUCAAAAUCUCAACUCACAAACACACUAUUAGUGAGAAUGAGGAGAAGAAGAGAAAAUGUUGGGACAUUCAAGUUCAACUGCCAAGACUGAUUAUGAAAGGCAGAGAAAAAUUUGUGACCAACUUAUUUACACUUUGUGAUC